rnacentral:rRNA from 1 species
AGUGAACGCUGGCGGUAGGCCUAACACAUGCAAGUCGAACGGCAGCACAGUAAGAGCUUGCUCAUACGGGUGGAGAGUGGCGGACGGGUGAGGAAUAUAUCGGAAUCUACUUAUUCGUGGGGGAUAACGUAGGGAAACUUACGCUAACAAAGCAUAUGACGUACGGGUGAAAGCAGGGGAUCUUCGGAGCAUGUGCGAGUGAAAGAGCCGAUGUAGGAGUAGAUAGUUGGCGGGGUAAAGGCCCACAAAGGCCACGAUCCGUAGCUGGUCUGAGAGGAUGGUCCGCCACACUGGAACUGAGACACGUUCCAGACUCCUACGGUAGGCAGCAGUGGGGAAUCUUACGCAAUGGGCGCAAGCCUGAUCCAGCCAUACCGCGUGGGUUAUGAAGGCCUUCGGGUUGUAAAGCCCUUUUGUUGGGAAAGAAAAGCAGCUGUUUUAUCCCCCGCUAUUCUGACGGUACCCAAAGAAUAAGCACCGGCUAACUUCGUG